AACUAUUCAGCAAUCUAAAUACCCAGAGUACCAAUUCAUCAUCACAAAAAAAGACAAACAUAGUUUUUAGAAGUAAGAAGAAAUUCAAUAAAAAUGAGUUCAAGCAGGAGAGCAUGGAUAGUAGCAGCCAGUGUUGGAGCAGUAGAAGCUUUAAAAGAUCAGGUUGGAUUGUGCAGAUGGGAUUAUCCAUUAAAGUGUUUGGCACAGCACACAAAGAAUAACAUGAGAUGUUACUCUCAAGCUAAAAAACUUUCAUCUUCACUUAUUGCAAAGUGUGAAAAGACAGAGCAAUCUGAAGAAUCUCUGAGAAAAGUUAUGUAUUUGAGCUGUUGGGGUCCAAAUUGAACAUUUUAGCAUAGUGGUAAAUGAGACAGAAAAAGAAAAGUGUAAAUAGGACAAAGAUUGUACUAGUUGAAGGGCAUGCCAUUUUAAAGAUAAGCAUGUAUCUGUAAUCUUAUGUGAUACUAUAUGAAUAGAGUUGUUAUUUUGGUGAAAUUGAUACAUUAAUAGAUCAACUAAU
rnacentral:misc_RNA from 1 species